rnacentral:rRNA from 1 species
AUACGUAGGGGGCAAGCGUUGUCCGGAAUCACUGGGCGUAAAGGGCGUGUAGGCUGCUUAAUAAGUUAGAGGUGAAAACCAAGGGCUCAACCGUUGGAUUGCCUCUAAAACUGUUAGGCUUGAGUGCAGGAGAGGGAAGCGGAAUUCCUGGUGUAGCGGUGAAAUGCGUAGAUAUCAGGAGGAACACUAGUGGCGAAGGCGGCUUCCUGGCCUGUAACUGACGCUGAGGCGCGAAAGCGUGGGUAGCGAACAGGAUUAGAUACCCUGGUAGUCCACGCCGUAAACGAUGAGUGCUAGGUGUCGGGGGUAUCGACCCCCUCGGUGCCGGAGUUAACGCAUUAAGCACUCCGCCUGGGGAGUACGGUCGCAAGACUGAA